rnacentral:rRNA from 1 species
GAUGAACGCUGGCGGCGUGCCUAAUACAUGCAAGUCGAGCGAACGGACGAGAAGCUUGCUUCUCUGAUGUUAGCGGCGGACGGGUGAGUAACACGUGGAUAACCUACCUAUAAGACUGGGAUAACUUCGGGAAACCGGAGCUAAUACCGGAUAAUAUUUUGAACCGCAUGGUUCAAAAGUGAAAGACGGUCUUGCUGUCACUUAUAGAUGGAUCCGCGCUGCAUUAGCUAGUUGGUAAGGUAACGGCUUACCAAGGCAACGAUGCAUAGCCGACCUGAGAGGGUGAUCGGCCCCCCUGGAACUGAGACACGGUCCAGACUCCUACGGGAGGCCGCAGUAGGGAAUCUUCCGCAAUGGGCGAAAGCCUGACGGAGCAACGCCGCGUGAGUGAUGACGGUCUUCGGAUCGUAAAACUCUGUUAUUAGGGAAGAACAUAUGUGUAAGUAACUGUGCACAUCUUGACGGUACCUAAUCAGAAAGCCACGGCUAACUACGUG